GCCCUUUAAGAAAGCCUGCCAGAGCUCUGGAACUGGGACUCUUAAGAAACUUCCGUAAUGUGCCAAGUAAAGUGAGAAAGCUCUUCGUGGGGUCAAAAGAGAAGCUACAAGAGGAGGCCCCACGGAAGACUUGGCAGAAGAGAGUGGUAAGGAGUUUCACAUGGAUGGAUCAGAGCCUUUGCCUCACAAGCACGCAUACUUGACAAAGACUUUACCACUAGAGGUAAUAGAGAAGCCAGAGAGAGAGUGAGGAGAAACUACCAGAGAAAUCAUUAUGAAGCAAAUGUUCUCCUUUCUCCAUAACAUGGACUCCAUAGC